UACGGAGGGUGCAAGCGUUAUCCGGAUUUACUGGGUUUAAAGGGUGCGUAGGCGGGCCAUUAAGUCAGUGGUGAAAGCUCCGAGCUUAACUCGGAAACUGCCAUUGAUACUAUCAGUCUUGAAUACCGUGGAGGUCAGCGGAAUAUGUCAUGUAGCGGUGAAAUGCUUAGAUAUGACAUAGAACACCAAUUGCGAAGGCAGCUGGCUACACGAAUAUUGACACUGAUGCACGAAAGCGUGGGGAUCAAACAGG
rnacentral:rRNA from 1 species